rnacentral:piRNA from 1 species
UGACAACCAGGAAUAGCCACUACAAUC